rfam:Dipodomys ordii contig_46613, whole genome shotgun sequence.
GGGAAGGUAGCUCAGUGGUAGAGUGCUUGCCUUUCAAUCAUGAGACCCUAGGUUUGAUUCCUCAGCCCACACA